rnacentral:rRNA from 1 species
GUGAGGAAUAUUGCGCAAUGGAGGCAACUCUGACGCAGCCAUGCCGCGUGCAGGAAGAAGGCGCUACGCGUUGUAAACUGCUUUUAACCGGGAAGAAACCCCAGGACGUGUCCUGGGUUGACGGUACCGGAGGAAUAAGCACCGGCUAACUUCGUGCCAGUAGCCGCGGUAAUACGAUGGGUGCAAGCGUUAUCCGGAUUCAUUGGGUUUAAAGGGUGCGUAGGCGGAGCGUUAAGUCAGUGGUGAAAUCCUGCAGCUUAACUGUAGACUUGCCAUUGAUACUGGCGCUCUUGAGUGCGCUUGAAGUGGGCGGAAUGUGCCGUGUAGCGGUGAAAUGCUUAGAUAUGGCACAGAACACCAAUUGCGAAGGCAGCUCACUAAGGCGAUACUGACGCUGAGGCACGAAAGCGUGGGGAUCGAACAGGAUUAGAUACCCUAGUAGUCC